AUUUGAUUGCGUUUUCAUUGUGUGUAUUGAAAUGGUUGUCACCAGUUGCAGUCAUUCUUUCAUUUUUUACUUGGUUUCAGUUUGAUUUGGAUUUAUAUACCUUCAGACUACUCACAUGGGAUAUACUUUUUUGUGCAUUUGCUUUAUCAAUUUUUAUAUAUUCCACGACGCUAAUGCUAACAAUGAUAUUGAGCAUUUGUUACGGAGAUUCCAUAUCGAUUGCCGUAGAAGCUGCCAAUAAAAAUUUAUGUGUGUCGAUAUACAUAUUUCACACGCUGUACAAAGUGCAAGGUGACUUUGCUGAUGUGUUUCCGAGUGCUGUUCUUAUUGCUACAACUUUAAUAUUCAUCACUCAUUUUAUUUGGAAUUGUAUCAGGGCGUGGCUCAAUCCAACUAUACCUUAUGAAAGCUUGGAAUAAAUUCUUUGAGUGAUGAUUUAAUACAAAUUUAUAUUAACAUAUUUAAUAAAGUGUUGUUUUACCUUAGAACUAAAUUACCGACUAACUA